AACGAACGCUGGCGGCAGGCUUAACACAUGCAAGUCGAGCGCCCCGCAAGGGGAGCGGCAGACGGGUGAGUAACACGUGGGAAUCUACCCAUCCCUACGGAACAACUCCGGGAAACUGGAGCUAAUACCGUAUACGCCCUUUGGGGGAAAGAUUUAUCGGGGAUGGAUGAGCCCGCGUCGGAUUAACUAGUUGGUGGGGUAAAGGCCUACCAAGGCGACGAUCCGUAGCUGGUCUGAGAGGAUGAUCAGCCACACUGGGACUGAGACACGGCCCAGACUCCUACGGGAGGCAGCAGUGGGGAAUAUUGGACAAUGGGCGCAAGCCUGAUCCAGCCAUGCCGCGUGAGUGAUGAAGGCCUUAGGGUUGUAAAGCUCUUUCGCCAGGGACGAUAAUGACGGUACCUGGAUAAGAAGCCCCGGCUAACUUCGUGCCAGCCGCCGCAGUAAGAC
rnacentral:rRNA from 1 species